rnacentral:rRNA from 1 species
AACGAACGCUGGCGGCAUGCCUAACACAUGCAAGUCGAACGAGACCUUCGGGUCUAGUGGCGCACGGGUGCGUAACGCGUGGGAACCUGCCCUUAGGUUCGGAAUAACUCCCCGAAAGGGGUGCUAAUACCGGAUAAUGUCUUCGGACCAAAGAUUUAUCGCGUUUGGAUGGGCCCGCGUUGGAUUAGGUAGUUGGUAGGGUAAAAGCCUACCAAGGCGACGAUCCAUAGCUGGUCUGAGAGGAUGAUCAGCCACACUGGGACUGAGACACGGCCCAGACUCCUACGGGAGGCAGCAGUGGGGAAUAUUGGACAAUGGGCGAAAGCCUGAUCCAGCAAUGCCGCGUGAGUGAUGAAGGCCUUAGGGUUGUAAAGCUCUUUUACCCGGGAUGAUAAUGACAGUACCGGGAGAAUAAGCUCCGGCUAACUCCGUG